GAUGAACGCUGGCGGCGUGCCUAAUACAUGCAAGUCGAGCGAACAGACGAGGAGCUUGCUCCUUCGACGUUAGCGGCGGACGGGUGAGUAACACGUAGAUAACCUACCUAUAAGUCUGGGAUAACUUCGGGAAACCGGAGCUAAUACCGGAUAAUAUUUCGAACCGCAUGGUUCGAUAGUGAAAGAUGGCUUUGCUAUCACUACUAGAUGGAUCUGGGCCGUAUUAGCUAGUUGGUAAGGUAACGGGUUACCACGGCAACGAUACGUAGCCGACCUGAGAGGGUGAUCGGCCACAUUGGAACUGAGCCACGGUCCAGACUCCUACGGGAGGCAGCAGUAGGGUAUCUGACGCAAUGGGCGAAAGCCUGACGGAGCAACGCCGCGUGAGUGAUGAAGGUCUUCGGAUCGUAAAACUCUGUUAUGAGGGAAGAACAAACGUGUAAGUAACUGUGCACGUCUUGACGGUACCUAAUCAGAAAGCCACGGCUAACUACGUG
rnacentral:rRNA from 1 species